UAAAUGAAAGCAAAUAAAUUGCAUUUAAUUGUUAAUUAAAAGUAAGAAAGUAACUUUCUCAUUUAG
rnacentral:tRNA from 1 species